CGUUAUAAAUCAAAUGUAUUUUGAAUUUUGUUUGAAAACUCCAUAACAACGGUUGCUAUUUUUCAAUUGAUGCUCAAACAAAUUAUGGUGUCCGUUGAAUAUUCCAGCAUAUUUUUUUUUUAAUUAACAUAAUGGCUUACACCCACAACUUGUGCCGUACGUGUGGCCAACUUUCGGAAGUUUGCCAUAACAUUUUCAAAUCUGACGUCCCUGGACCAACCAUCAAGGAGAUAAUACUUAUCUGUGUCAACCUUCAGGUUAACGAACAUGAGCAAUUACCUAAACAAAUAUGCAACAACUGCUUGGUUAAACUUAACCAGUUGCUCGAAUUCAUCAAGACCGUUCAGGCUGCGAAUAAGAAGUAUUCAAUAAUUUCCGGGAAAAGGCGCUAGAUCUUCACGGAUUGUACAAAUCUACCACAAUGUCUUAAAUUAAUUGUUGUAAUAAUUUGGUUUGUAAAAAUUUGAUAUUAAUCUGUAUUGACUCGAUUUAAAUUUAUGUAUAGUACAUAUAUUGUAAUAAAAGUGGUAUGUAAAAAAAU